rnacentral:tRNA from 1 species
AGGAUUAUAAUUUAUUUAAAAAUAUUUAAUUUGCAUUUAAAAAAAACACCAUGUUAAUCUGACCA